AUUGAACGCUGGCGGCAUGCUUUACACAUGCAAGUCGAACGGCAGCGCGGGGGCAACCCUGGCGGCGAGUGGCGAACAGGUGAGUAAUGGAUCGGAACGUAUCCUGUAAUGGGGGAUAACGUAGCGAAAGUUACGCUAAUACCGCAUACGCUCGAGAGAGGAAAGUGGGGGAUCGCAAGACCUCACGUUAUUGGAGCGGCCGAUGUCCGAUUAGCUAGUUGGUGGGGUAAAGGCCUACCAAGGCGACGAUCGGUAGCUGGUCUGAGAGGAUGAUCAGCCACACUGGGACUGAGACACGGCCCAGACUCGUACGGGAGGCAGCAGUGGGGAAUUUUGGACAAUGGGCGAAAGCCUGAUCCAGCCAUGCCGCGUGCGGGAAGAAGGCCUUCGGGUUGUAAACCGCUUUAGUCCGGGAAAAAGGGGUGCGAGGAUAAUACCCUCGUGCUUUGAUGGUACUGGAAGAAUAAGCACCGGCUAACUACGUGCCAGCAGCCGCGGUAAUGCGUAGGGUGCGAGCGUUAAUCGGAAUUACUGGGCGUAAAGCGUGCGCAGGCGGUCUUGUAAGACAGUCGUGAAAGCCCCGGGCUUAACCUGGGAACUGCGAUUGUGACUGCAAGGCUAGAGUGUGUCAGAGGGGGGUGGAAUUCCACGUGUAGCAGUGAAAUGCGUAGAGAUGUGGAGGAACACCGAUGGCGAAGGCAGCCCCCUGGGAUAACACUGACGCUCAUGCACGAAAGCGUGGGGAGCAAACAGGAUUAGAUACCCUGGUAGUCCACGCCCUAAACGAUGUCAACUGGUUGUUGGA
rnacentral:rRNA from 1 species